rnacentral:misc_RNA from 1 species
GUGCAUUCUGGGGCUGCUUUGGCUUUUGGUUGCUUGCUUGGCCUUCGGCUUGGCGGGUGGCUACUAGCUGUUGCGGCUUCGGGGAUGUCUACCGUAAAGGUGCAUGAGUGGUGUUUGGUUUGUCACGGGUGGUUGGAUGACUGCUUGCGCAGCGACUUCCACGCGGGCAUGCCUCUUCAGUUGUGCGGCCAAAGCUUGUAUCGCCUUGGUCGUGUUGUUGGUUUCCUGUGUUGUGUACCCAAUGCACGGCAUCGUUUGGUUGGAUCGAAGUUUGUUUUCGUCUCGCGUUGCUCCUGUGGCGUGGGAUGAACCUCGAAGCGGUCUCAUUGAUCCACACUGUCGAUGAACGUGCGUCGAUGGUGUGGCCCAUUGGGCAUUGCUUGGACUCUUGGAUAUGGAACCUGAUGUGGGCAUGGGGUCUCAAACGACCCUUGUUUUGCCCUCGUUGAGCGUUCUUGCUUCUCUAAACGACUGCCGGCUAGGAAAUUGGCUCGUUACCAGCCUGGCCGGCUAUGUCGAAGAGGAAUGCUACCUGGUUGAUCCUGCCAGUAGUCAUAUGCUUGUCUCAAAGAUUAAGCCAU